rnacentral:rRNA from 1 species
UAGGGGAAUCUUCCACAAUGGACGCAAGUCUGAUGGAGCAACGCCGCGUGAGUGAAGAAGGGUUUCGGCUCGUAAAGCUCUGUUGUUAAAGAAGAACGUGGGUAAGAGUAACUGUUUACCCAGUGACGGUAUUUAACCAGAAAGCCACGGCUAACUACGUGCCA